rnacentral:rRNA from 1 species
GAUGAACGCUGGCGGCGUGCCUAAUGCAUGCAAGUCGAGCGAACAGAUAAGGAGCUUGCUCCUUUGACGUUAGCGGCGGACGUGUGAGUAACACGUGGGUAACCUACCUAUAAGACUGGAAUAACUCCGGGAAACCGGGGCUAAUGCCGGAUAACAUUUAGAACCGCAUGGUUCUAAAGUGAAAGAUGGUUUUGCUAUCACUUAUAGAUGGACCCGCGCCGUAUUAGCUAGUUGGUAAGGUAACGGCUUACCAAGGCAACGAUACGUAGCCGACCUGAGAGGGUGAUCGGCCACACUGGAACUGAGACACGGUCCAGACUCCUACGGGAGGCAGCAGUAGGGAAUCUUCCGCAAUGGGCGAAAGCCUGACGGAGCAACGCCGCGUGAGUGAUGAAGGUCUUCGGAUCGUAAAACUCUGUUAUUAGGGAAGAACAAAUGUGUAAGUAACUGUGCACGUCUUGACGGUACCUAAUCAGAAAGCCACGGCUAACUACGUG